GAUGAAGAACGUAGUGAAAUGCGAUAAUUAAUGUGAAUUGCAGAAUUCAGUGAAUCAUCGAGUCUUUGAACGCACAUUGCGCCCCCUGGUAUUCCGGGGGGCAUGCCUGUCCGAGCGUCAUUGCUACCCUCAAGCACGGCUUGUGUGUUGGGCUUCCGUCCCUGGCAACGGGGACGGGCCCAAAAGGCAGUGGCGGCACCAUGUCUGGUCCUCGAGCGUAUGGGGCUUUGUCACCCGCUCCCGUAGGUCCAGCUGGCAGCUAGCCUCGCAACCAAUCUUUUUAACCAGGUUGACCUCGGAUCAGGUAGGGAUACCCGCUGAACUUAAGCAUAUCAAUAAGCGGAGGA
rnacentral:misc_RNA from 1 species